UACGUAGGGUGCGAGCGUUGUCCGGAAUUAUUGGGCGUAAAGAGCUCGUAGGCGGUUUGUCGCGUCGGCCGUGAAAACUUGGGGCUUAACCCCGAGCCUGCGGUCGAUACGGGCAGACUUGAGUUCGGCAGGGGAGACUGGAAUUCCUGGUGUAGCGGUGAAAUGCGUAGAUAUCUGGAGGAACACCGGUGGCGAAGGCGGCAUCCUGGACCAACACUGACGCUGAGUGAGCGAAAGCCAGGGGAGCAAACGGG
rnacentral:rRNA from 1 species